CUUGUGACUAGCACUUCCUUCCUGCCCUGUGGGACUUGCUUCUGGGUAUUGGAGGAGAGAGGAGCUUGUUCAGCCCAGUCUGGAGUGGCAUACUCUUCUUGGUUCAGCCCAAAGUGAAGAUUUCCCAGUGACAUGGCUGGGGGCCCUAAUGGCAGCCUCAUAAUAGCAAGCUACAUGGAGCAUUGAAGAAAGUCAUGAUCAGAAACCUCAUCAUCCUGAAAGAUUGCCUCAGCCUUGGUACUCACAUCUCAUCAGUAUCCUCUACUCCUAUGAUUGGAUGAUGUAAUAAAGAGCACCACCCAGAAACAUCAUUAAAGGAGAGAUUCCAGGCAAGCCAUCUACUCAUGUCUCUUUCAGCUGUACUCCUUUGGAGUACUCACCAUCUCAUGUUUCUGCUCCAAGUAGCUCCCACUCUCUCCCCUUGCUUUUCAACUUCCUUUUCUGUGUAAGAUUGUAAGCUUCUUGAAUAGAGGAACUAUCUUUCUUUUUAUUUUUUGUAUCCCCAGAAUUUAGCACAAUGUUUGGCAUAUAGUAGGUACUUAAUAAAUCUUUAUUGACUGAGUACACUUUAAGUUUUUGGCCUUGGAAAAGAAAAGAAUCACCAUAGUGAAGGAAAUGACUAUGGGAAAGGAUUUUUAAAUAAUAUCAUAUGAGGAAGAAAGGAGUUUCCUUUGAAUAUCCUAAAUUUUAAACAAAUAAACUGAGGUGAAGUUCUGAGCUAAGAGUGGAGUCAUCAUGGGAACCUUAAGGAGGGACAAAAAGAUUUAGCAAAUUCACUGUGGAAAGUGAAAUAGCAAAUGAAAUGCUUGCCUUUCCUGCAGUGAGGGUCCAGCUGAUAAUAGAAAACAUGAAUCUCUAGCAUUCCCAUUUAGCAUUUUUUCAUGAUUUCCUCAAGCUCCAUUCUUGGGCAUUUUAAAAGAGUUGGAUAAUGGGAGCAAAGCAGCAUUGUAGAUUAGAAAGAUGGAAUCAACAAUAAGAUAAGGGGGCAAAGAAACUGAAAGUAGAGAAUAGAGUUGAGUUGGUUCACUGAAGGAUUAAGAUAGGGAAAAUAGGAGAGUGUGUACCAAGUGUGCAGAUAAUAGCCUGUAGUAAGUACCAAGAGGCAGAAGGAAUAGGUAUUACCAUGAGGAUGAAGAAUGUGUUUAGGAAUCACUAAGAGUACAAAAUAAGGAAUGAGAAAAGAUGAUGAUCAGAUAAAAAGGACUUCAGGGGUUCAUGAACAUAGAUUUAGAACAUUUAUGGGCAAAUAUCACUUUGUAAAAUUAGUUUCUGACAGACUGCUUUCUAUAUUUCAUAGUUAUUUCCUGUGGGAAAUUCUUCCGGGAAUAAUUUAUGUUUUGAAGUAUAUCAAGCACUGGAUUCCUAUUUUAUAUUGCUUCAAAUUAUUGAUUAUUCUGUUCCACGGAUUAACAUUUCUAUUUUACAACCAGAAGAAAAUUAUUUAGAUAAUAUCAAUUUAUCAUAUGAUUUUUACUUUUUCAAAUAAAUUUUUAUAUUAUUUUUUCUAUUUCUUUAAAACAUCAUCUUGGUGAGUUGAUUUACAAAGCACUAAGUUUUAAAUGAAUUUAGAAAGUAUCACAUUUUCCAUUGUUUUACCAUAGACCAACAAUGAACAAUAGUCAUCUCAUAGUAUUUGAAAUAUUUUGUUUCUGGAAAGAGUAAUUUGCAUUUUUAUAAACCUGCAUAAGACCUGGUAGGUUAGAGCAAAGUUAUUUUAGAUUAUUUUUUUAUUAUUGGAAUGAAAUUCUCCUUAUAGUCAUUCCCUUCUUGUUUUGUUUUAUUUUGAUUCUGAUCAUUUCUAUGGAUUUAUUUUGUAUAUAUCAAUUUUGCUAAAGCUUGUAUUCAUCUCUAUUAAGUUUCUUCCCUUUUUCUGGGAGUUGCUAAACAAAUCAUCAAGUUAUCUUCAACUAAGGUUAAUUUUUCUUCCCUUUAUCAAUGAUUAUGUUUAAUUUUAAACUCUCAUUAUAGCGUUAUAGCAAACAUUUUUAGAACUACUUCAUAUAAUAGGGAGAGUGAAACCUUUCUUAAUCUCAUUUGUGAUUAAAAGGAAAGGGAAAACAAAACAAAAACUUCCUAGUGCUUGUCCACUGUAAAUAAUAUUAGAUUGACUGAUUUCAAUUUUAGUUAUAUGCUUUUGGUCAUAUUAAAUAAACAACUUUUCAUGUCAAUAACUUUUUUGAAGGACUAUGGGAAUACUGAUAUUUUGUAAAAAUGAUCUUUUCCUGUAUCAAUUGACAAAAUUAUAUGUUCUUUGUUGGGUUUCAGAUUACAUAUGAAUUAUAAUAUUUGUCUUUUUAAAUGAUGAGUCUUUAUUAUAACACUCCUAUGAACUCUGAUUCCAUAUUAUUUUCUGAAUGUGUUGUUGUAGUUGCCUUUUGUUCUUUUAGUGAAAACUUUUUAAUUAAUAUGUCCAUUAGUAAAAUUAAUAUAUAGUCUUUUUUUCUUCUAUCUUU